AACCUGCCCAAGAGAUCGGGAUAACACCUGGAAACAGAUGCUAAUACCGGAUAACAACAGAUGAUGCCUAUCAACUGUUUAAAAGAUGGUUCUGCUAUCACUCUUGGAUGGACCUGCGGUGCAUUAGCUAGUUGGUAGGGUAACGGCCACCAAGGCGAUGAUGCAUAGCCGAGUUGAGAGACUGAUCGGCCACAUUGGGACUGAGACACGGCCCAAACUCCUACGGGAGGCAGCAGCC
rnacentral:rRNA from 1 species